ACUGUUUGGCUGCAGAGGCCAGAAUUUCCGGCGAAACUUCCGUUGUAUGCUUCAAUUGACAGAGAUUGAGGUAUGCGACCAGUUAACCUAUUGUGGGUUAGAUCAAGGAGGCUUAGACUCAAAGACGACAAGGUGUCUGGAAUUUGACCUGAAAGUUGAUUCUCUGAUAAAUUCAGAGAAUUUAGAGUCGGUAGAGAUCCUAUGGAUGAUGGGAUUUCACCGGAAAGCAAAUUAUGAGCUAUGUUUAGAUCGCUGAGAGAAUCACAAGAGCCUAGAGACUCUGGAAUCGAACCAGAGAACAUAUUGUUCUCCAAAUGAAGGCUGCUUAGGUGCUUAAGUUCUCCAAUUGUCUCCGGUAUCUUGCCUGAAAAUUGAUUGUCGUUUAACUUUAUCGAAACCAACGACGUAGCUCCCGAAAUCUCCCCUGGCAAUUCACCGGAUAAUCGGUUGUAUUCCAGAAACAACUGUCCAAGAGCCUUGGCGUUCCUAAUAUCAGAAGUCACUGGACCUUCAAAUUGAUUAAACUCGAUAUCGAUUAUGUUCAUAAUGGGCAAUCCCCAAAUUCCAGCAGGAACAGUGCCCGAAAGCGAGUUUUUACUGACUCUGAAUCUCUUCAACGUAGUACAACUCGCAUAGCUGGCCGGAAUUUCCCCGGUAAAAUUAUUUUGGAGCAUGAGAAGCGCUUCCAUGGUCCCCUGCUUGCACAUAUCUGGUGGAAUCGGACCUGUCAAGUAAUUCUCUGAGACAUCGAUGAAAAUAAAAUUGGCCCAAGAACCAAGCUGAGGAGGAAGAGGACCGGUUAACUUGUUCCCGUACAGAGAAAGAUUUACGAGUUUCUUGAACUGGCCAAACUCCAUUGGUAUUUCACCAGAAAGCUCGUUCUCGAAUAGCUGC
rnacentral:misc_RNA from 1 species